UCGGCUAUCCUAGGGUCUCUUGACUUAGAUUUUUAAUUCAUUGUGAUAAUUUUCAAGUCAGUUAAAAAUUUCCCACAUACUAUCGAUUUAUGACUACAAAUCAGAAAAAUAUAAACCCUCUGUCUUAGCACAUUGCAUCUUUAAUAAGACAUUCUUUCCAGAAUGACAUUUCAAGGAUAUCUGGAGGUGACCGAUGGGAUGAUAAUUUUGAGUGAAUUUAGAGUUUUAAUUACUGUUUUAUUUGUAAUUCCAAGUGGGUGCUGUGGAAAAAAAAAAAAAGAGCUAUCAACAAAGGAAAUAAUUGUUCCAAAGAAUUACAUCUGCACUGCAUUCUCUGUCAAAAAUUUCUCAUUAAAAAUGUGUUUCUUUAAAAGUAACUCAAAGCAGCUGAUGAAAUAUAAGAGAAUGGAAAGUUUCAAAUCCCAGAGCAAAUGUGGAUUCAUCAGGGAUCAUUUGCCAGAGACCUGACUCAAUGGCAAAAGACCUUCUCACCAUUUCUCACAUCCCUUCCUGGGUUUCAUACAGAGUGGAUAAAGAACGACUAAGCUACGAACAAAUCUUCCAAAGAGGAGACAAUCCCGUAAACCUUCCCAGGAUCUCUGUGCCACCCGCCGAGGCUGACGCGCGCGAGAUGGCUGUUACCAAGAUUAUUCCCAAACAUCCUCUAGCUUGCUGGAGACCACAAAGAUCAGUCCUGCCUGAAAGGCCACCGGUGUGCAUCUCACAAAAGAAUAAGAUGAUGGAAAAAUAUGGCCAUCUCCUUGAAGUGGGGGCUGCCGAUGGAAGAAAAGCAGUAGAUGGGCAGAAGACAAGGUCAAAACCCAGGUCGGGCUGACGCUGUCUGGAAGACCAAAAGCCAGCUGCCUUAUCGACGAAUUUAAUGAGCACCUAUUAUGUGUGGGGACAUUGCCAAAUGCUGCAGGAAUCCCUUCCGAGGGUAUUUACAGUCUAUUGAGGAGAGAAGGCACGUGUAGACCAAAUGAUUUAAUUAUCAUCUCAGUCUGUCUUCUCAUACCGAGCUGUAAGAGCGAGAAGAGCAGGGGCUGCGUGUGGUUUGGAAUUGCUGUAUCUCCAGAAGCGAACACAGUGCCUGCUCGGGGGUGCUGUUCCUGCUGAACUAAUUCCCGCCAGAUAUCGUGAGGCCACGUUAGACCAAGGGCAUCGGACCCUUCUCUGUGGCCGGGCUGCUCACGGACCCUUGGAUCUCCCAUUGCUAAACCUGUGUAAUGGGCAUAACUUCAUUUUACCCAGUCCACCGUGCAAGAUAUGCACCUUUAAGUAUUUCUUUAACUCAAGUUGUCAUACUUCAUUAAUUCCAAUACAUGCCUUUUCGUGGGUUAGCGUCGCAGAAAUCAGGAUCUUCUCACUGAUGGCAUCUUUGAAUCGCUAUUUCCCGGGUGGCAGGGUGGACGGAAUGGCCCGUGCAUGUCUGAACUUGUUCACAGGCAUUCCUAUGACCGUCCCUUCUGUUGAAGUCUGUGCCUUGUUGGUAGGACCCAAGUUGAGUUUAGUUGCUGUUUGAAAUGUUUUCAAAAAGAUCAUCCCCAGUUUCAGGUUUGAGAUGAAAAGUUAUCGUCAACAGAAAGGUUUGGAAACAGAGCAGUGGGGUGCAAAUAUGAUAUUAGUGAAGCAGGUAUUUGUGUUGGGUGGGUCGCUGAAAAGAAACAACCUCAUACACGGUAAUAGAUGUAGAUUACUACAAGCGUUUGAAACUGUGAUCAUUUUGUUGCUGAGUUGUGUACAAAGGCAAUGCCUGUUUGCACACGUCAAGCAAGCAAGCACCCACGUCAGACCUUUUAGAAUCGAUGGCAGCAUCUCGGAAGAAAACCUACAGCCAAUAGUGGGGACACUUGUAAGAAACGUUUCAUCAUCAAUACAGAGGACAGCGCCGUGCAGAAAAAUAUGAACAUUGAUUCCGAAUGCGUAAACUCUGAAUGCGAAGAUAACUUCGGGAAUUUCUUAACGAAUUUAUUUUCUUUUUUGUAUACGCGUGAGUGUGAUGUAUAAUAAACGCCUCUGACCCAAUAAGUCUAGAAAAGCCUUUUCAGCAAGCGUAAAAUACAGAUUUUAAGUGAUGAGCAAGCAUUGUUUCAUAGAUUAAUCGGCGUCUUUCUUAGUGGUACGUAAAUUAAUGAUGCAUUUUACAAUCGAUGGCUUCUGAGUAUCAAUGAAAUAGCUACUUUCUCAUUUGAGUUCCCAUUCCUUCGGGUAUUAGAAAUUAAAUUUCUGCCAGUUCAGCAGCACCCCUCCCCAUGAUUACACUGCAUUCCUGGGGGCUUACCCACAGCUCCCAUUUAGACUGAGGACACUGUGUUUGUUGGGCAUGAGUUUCUCUCUGGGCUGGCAGCCGCCGAGAUGGCCGUGUCUGAUGCCACACAGAUCGCUGCUGGGUCCUUUUCCUGUUCUCAUCUCAGGCCUCUUUCAGAGUGGGGGGGAUCUUUCUGCUAGUUCAGGUGGGCUUGGGGUCCACCUCCCUGGCAGCGAAGACGCUGAGCUGGUGAGGCCCUGGGCCCCUCGGUGGGCUCUCUGGAGCAGGAAGGGCAGUUGGCAUCCUCUUGGACCCUGGGUGGAAUUCACUCUUCCCACUGCUCUUAGGCAUGUAGGAUCCAGCUUCCCUUUGCCAUCUCUUUGGAACGGGGAGACCUAGACCCCGCCAUGUUUCCACUCUGGCAUCUCGUGGCCUCCCUGGCUCCACCUGGGGAAGGGGUACGCGUGUCCUCCGGCCUGUGUGGGGUUUCUGGUUGUUCCUCUUCCAUCUCUGCACGAUGAGGGGAGGGGGCUGUGCUGCAGGACCCCCUGUUGAGGUCCCUCCUGGCCUCCUCUCCAGCCUGCCCUGUCCUCCUGGUCUGGGCAAUGCCUUCUAACCUGGAGGGCCAGAGAGCCUGUCUCUUACUCCCCUCCCCAAGUUUUGCAGCUCCUCAGAGGCUUUGGGUUCUAAAACUCAAGCCAAGGACAGACUCGUGGUUCCCCUACCGUCUGGACGAGUGCUUCAGAGCACAAAGCUGACUAAAUGGAAGAAAGAUCUGGCACAAAGAAACACAAGAAAAUCACAUUGGCUCACCUUUCAAAAUAUCACCCCAAUGCAGGUUCUCACCGUGGUUCCCCUUUCCC